AUUGCUAAUCCGAGCAAAGGUGAUGCCCAUUUCUCGGUGAAUUGUUUAUCCAAUUCCCAUUUCGUGUUAUCUGUUUGUUACUGGUGAAGUGCCUAAAAAAAAGCCUGUACAUUGGGGCCAGAAUCCGGCGAUGAGGCCUUCAUGUUUUAUUGGAGAAGAGCAGGCCCACUGUCCCAAAAGCCACCUCAAUCCACACUCCUCCUCCUUAUGCCUCACUGGCCCCAUCCCAUUGCAUCAGCAUCACAGAGCUCCACAGCACUUAGCUUGUGUUCCCUGUGUCCUAUGUGCCUCACUGCGUAGCCACCAUUUACUCCAGCUCUCCCCCUUUCAGCUCUGAGGAGACGUUCAAGUCUGAAUAAGGAUAUCAAAUGGUUAUUCUUUUUUGGAUGAUCUGAAUGUAAAGGGAUUUUUCCAAGACAGACAAAUAUGAAAUAUUUUUGCCACUAUAAAAACAAACCAUUGUAGAGUCUCUGGAACAAUUGUUGAUGCAGAUCUGGAUAAAACAAACACAAACAGAAUUAUGGGGCCGAACAGGCGGUGAUAAGCUGAAAUGGGCUGAAAACAGCGCCGUGAUAUGCCAAAGGAGGCUGCGAUAUGUAGAAAUGGACAGUGACUGUCCAUUUCUACAUGACAGAAUGGAAACAACUUUUGGGCCAGCGACACCUCCCUCCCUCCACAACAGCUUUUGGGCCGGUUUCUAGCUGAAGGGUGUGUGACCCAAAACAAGCAAUUGGAAGGGAGAAAUGUGUGGUGGUGAGUGCAUGACUUGUGUGCGACAAUGACCAAGGAAGGAAUACAUUCAUUGAAGGCAAAAACAAAAACACUGGUAACACUUUACAAUAAGGUUCAAUUGGUUCACAUUAGUUAACAAUGUUAGUUAACAUGAACUAACAAUGAACAAUACUUUUCAGCAAUUAUUAAUAUUGGUUUAUGUUAAUUUCAACAUAUAAUAAUACAUUUUUGAAAUCAAAAGUUGUAUAAGUUAAAAAAGUUAAUGCACUAUGAAAUAACAUGAACUAACAAUGAAUAAUUGUAUUUUUAUUAACUAACAUUAACAAAGAUUAAUAAAUGCUGUAAAAAUAUAUUGUUCAUUGUUAGUUCAUGAUACCUAAUGUGUUAACUAAUGUUAAUGAAUGGAACCGUAUUGUAAAGUGUUACCAAAACAUUUCUGAAAAAAAGGGUUUUAGAAAGUAAUGCAAAACUUACCUUUUCGAUUAAGUAAUCAGUAAAGUAAUCUGAUUACAAUUUUAAAAUAAUGAAUUAGCCAUUUGUAGUGGAUUACUUUUUUGAGCAACUAAUCCAACACUGGCGGUUCCACAUAGUAUUUUAUAGACUUUUAUAUGCUACGUCUACAUUAAUCCAGAUAAAUUUAAAAAUGCGUUUUCAUUUUCAAAAUGUCCACACCGCCAUUUUCAAACAUUUUCCAAAAGUUGAUCGUCCACACUGAAAUGAAUGAAAACUCUUAAAUCCCCUUACAGCGCAUGCGAAAAAUCACCAUUCCAUGUAUGAGCUGAAAUGCAAUUGUCCUCGUGUUUCAUCGCCGGACAGCAAUACAGAGUAAACUUCGCGUCGCCUUUGAAGGAAUGGAUUGUGAAGGCUGAACAAAGUAACAUUUGUCUUUAACAACGCUCUCUAAGUGAAUAACAGGCAUAUUAAAGCUGCUACAAUGUGGGCAAUGUGGGACUGCGUCACAUGACAGCAAAUACCUCAUCAUUUUCAGAUAUCUCCGUCUUCCCUGUCCACACUACAACACAAUAACGACGUUUUCAAAUUUAUCCACUUGGGAGAGCGUUUUCAAAAAGCUCCAUUUUCGCUGACAAAAACGCCAUCUCAGUGUGGACGGAAGGCCAAAACACAGAGAAAAAGAUGCGUUGUCAAAAGAAAACACAUUAGUGUGGACAAAGCCUCAGCCUAUUUGUGUGAUUUUAAUUCAUACAAAGUUAUUGGCAAUAUGGUAUCACAUCUUGAUUUUAAGGGAUGAUUAUUAUGAGCAAGGUUUUUUUUUUUUUUUUUUUUAUAAGGUUUUGUGGGUUUUUAUUUAGCAUCAAGCACAAACACAUCUUUAGUGACUCACUUUUCUGAUGGCGCAAGCGGAACUUCAUUUGCACAUUUUAAACCUCCCUCACAGCACAGCCUGCAAAGUAGAACUCCAGAAACACAGAAAAACCAGUCAAGAGGAACUGAUCUCAUCAAAUAUUAAACAGAUGUCGGGGGAGUGAUUCAGUGAUGCAUGGGCUGUUAAGGCUUGAAUAAGGGGGCGCGCAUGAUGGAUCUUAAGUGGGCCAGUACGUAUGCAUAUGCUAAAAUUUACCUUCACAAUAGGUGAAAAGUAAAAGGUACAUUAUCACAUUGAAUUCAGAGAAAAUGUUCUGGUGUUGACUUGUGCUUUUACCAUUUGGAAAAAUGUUGUUAAGAAACUUCCAUGAUUAAAUACUGCAUAAUUCACUGUGUUGUUAAAAAAGGCACUCUGUAUUCUCUUGAAACUGCUCGGAAAUCCUAGCCUAUCCUAUCUUCCCAGCAUCAAUCUUUCUCAGUUUAAGGAAUGUUUUAGUAGACAGUAAGGACAAUCACUUGGAGUCACUAGAAAAGGCAAUGCAUUCCAAACGUAAAUACUGGCGAGUGGGCCUGGACACUGUGCAGCUGUCCAUCACAUCUACUAACGUCUCAGCCUCUAAGAAAGAUGAAUAUUUCACAAUGACCCUCCCUUUUGCAUGGGCCUGUCAGCCCCUGUUUCUUUCCACAACUGCACAACACUCUCUCUGGACUUAAGAGGACAGCACAGUUUGCAUUAUUCAGACGCACCAUGCUGUGCUCUUUAUGCCCCUUUAAAAAGGGGGGCAUAUGGGAUGAUAAAUAAAGCAGCCUAAUUGUAACCAUACAUCAGAAAUGUGCCUAGCGCUCCAUAGCCAGUGCAAGUCUGAAAGUAUGCGCUUGUAUGAAACUCUGUGUUGACUCAGCCGCAGAGAGAAGGAAGCUGCGAGUGGUAAAAGUUUUUAAAACACAACCUCACUUACCCUUUGUUGUUUACAUAAUAUGGGACACAGUUAUGCCCAGAAAUGUGGACACAGUGUUUGUGGAGUGAUAGGAUUGAGAAUGAGGAACAAAAGGCCUACUGACAUCAAAUGUUUGAUAGGCAGCCAGGAGGACAGCUGCUUGCUCAGGUCAUGCAGUAUUAAUCUAUUUUUAUCAAUAAUAAUAAUAAUAAUAAUAAUAAUAAUGAUGGUGGUGGUUUUGGAGUGCAUCUGACUUUUAAGCAAUGACAAUGAUUAAUCAUGGUUCUUAUAAUAUGACACUUCAAAGAGAUCAGAGUCAUAACCGUUUAUACACUACCAGUCAAAAGAAACACUUGACUGUUUUUCAUGAUCUUAAAAAUCUUUUGAUCUGAAGGCGUAUGCUUAAAUGUUUGAAUUAGUUUUGUAGACAAAAAUAUAAUUGUGCCACCAUAUUAAUUUAUUUCAUUACAAAACUAAAAUUUAAUACAAAUAAAACAUUAAAAGUUUUUGAAAUUGAUGACUUGGACCAAAUAAUAAAGAGAAGCAGCCAAUUAUUGCCCAACAUAGAUGGGAACUCCUUCAAUACUGUUUAAAAUGCACCCCAGGGUGAUACCUCAAGAAGUUGGUUGAGAAAAUGUCAAGAGUACAUGUCUGCAAAUUCUAGGCAAAGGGUGACUACUUUGAAGAUGCUAAAAUAUAACACAGUUUUGAUUUAUUUUGGAUUUUGUUUAGUCACAACAUAAUUCCCAUAGUUCCAUUUAUGUUAUU